UCUGAACCUGCCUUUGUGUCGCCUGCAUCUAACCCAGCUCUGUUACUGCCUCAAGGUUGCUGUCAGCAGUCCUACUCUGGAUAACCCUCUGUGGCUCUGGUCGUUUUCCCUGUUGGCUGUCAGCAAGCCCGUUCCCUGAUAACUGCUGUGGCUAGUCUCCCGCUUAUGGUGAAAACUUCAUUGAAUUCACUCCUGCCCAAGGACCUCUCUGGAUCCACCAGAUCUAAUUCAACACUCGCUCCUCGCUUCACCUGCUCUGCCUGUCCACCUUCCAAAAUCGUACACCAUCUGGAGCAAUCCGCUCACACGGCACCCUUGCCAGCCAACCUCCACCUAGGUGGCUUGCUCAUCUCUCCCCGGACUCACCACCCUUACCCACAAUGAGCCGUUUCCUGAAGCCAACCGGCUACCAAGUCCUGACGCUGCCCAGAAACAUUAUUUUCAAUGAACAGUUUUAAAACGUUAAUGUUUCUCCUGUGCGCUGCUCUAGAGUCUCCUGGUUCUGUGGUCAUGACAAUGAAUGCAUGAAAUUGUGAAUACUUGCUAAGCACGCCCAAAACGGAGAUCAGAAAGUUUCAAAUACUUGUGAAUCAAACAACCAAUUGAUUAUGUAUCUAUUUAUCUAAUCAUUAGAAUGUUACUCAACCUCCUUGAGCUAGCUGCCAAAAAGAGGUAUAAAAGAGAGCCGUAUUUGGUGCAGUAUGUUGCAUUAAGAUUUAAUACAAUUUGUUUUAUAAAAAAAGAGGUUCAUUGAUCUGUCCUUCCAUCCAACGUUAUCUGAGAUGAGUCACAGCAGUAAUGGGUCCAGUUAAGAAACCCAGACAUGGCAGUACUCUCUUGCUCAUUUUAGAGGAUACCUGGACAUUACUAGGUUAGAAAGGAUAUGCACUCUCUCCAAUGAGUUCUGGGUUUGCCCUACUUUAUGGUAAAUGACUGCUGGAGAUGGGCACCAUCUCAGACUUGCAAGGAUAAGCAGGUGUAGACAAUAGAUGAAUGGAUGUGUCCAGGUUUUCAUUCAGUCUUUAUCCAGAUCUCAUGGUCAUCACGGUCGCAAUGCAGAUUGACAGAUUUAUUCAAGAGCUUUUCUUUUUGGAUCAGCUCUUUCUUCACCAUGACAAAUUGGAGAAGUGCCUGCUAUAUGACACCAGGCCACAUUCUGUCUGUGUUAUUAUCACUCAUGAACAAGACCCCAGGAAUAUUAAGCAAAUCUGCAAGAAGCUAAAUUAAAACCUCUACCUGGAAGGAGCAGUCCACCUUUUUCCGAUUGAAAACCAUGUUUAUAAUGUCUUCUGAAUGACUACACCUUUUAGGUCCUGUUCUAGAACAGCACAAACAGGAUUAGAAACAAAGUGGUAGAUAUGGUGGGAAGAAUCUCAGGUUGUGCUCUGGUUAAAAUCUCCCCCUGCAUGCAUAUUACGCAGCACAAAAUGAUUCAGGAGAACAUCCUCAGAUCCACAAAACACAAUCUGGACCAUACAACCAAACUGCCAUGACCCCCUUAGAAGUUAGAAGGGUAAAUAUCUAGUCCACUCUUCCACAGCUACAAAAACCACAAGUUAUAAUGAAAAUAAAAAUAAAACUUAAACUAUAUAUAAUGUGUCUCUUUUAGGUAAAAUACCAUGUUGUGGCUCAAGAAUGUAAAACAAAAUCAAAUUUAUCUUUGUAAAUCUUGAGUAGACUUGCAGACUGCCUGCCUCCACAUAGUCCCAUUCGUCUGCAAUAAUUAUAACACUUGGAAUUAAUAUGGCAAUGAUUUCUUGAAGAUGAAUACUAAAAGUAGCAACUGAAAAUUACAUUGCCUCAUUAGAUUGUAGGAGUUCUAGAUGAGUUCACAAAUCUCAACUCAGUGCAGAAGGUUGAAACUGACAUCAGUAAUAGGAGAG